GCUUUUGGUUCAGUGGUACUCGUAGAAUGCUUGCCUGCCACGCGGGCGCCCCGGGUUCGAUUCCCGGCCAAUGCA
rnacentral:tRNA from 1 species